GCCAUAUCACGGUGAGACACCUGUUCUCGUAUGACCAUCGAACUUAAGCAACGUCUAGCUUGGUCUGUACCUAGAUGAGUGACCUCCUGGGAAUAGUAGAUGU